GAGAUCUAAGGAAGAGGAAGGAUUUAGCCAGGUGAAGAGGGUGGGGAAAAUGUUACAAGCACGUGGACCCACUCCAAAAUAAGGGCGAGCAUGGUACUUUGGGGAAUUGAGAGAAAUCCAUAUGGCUCUGCAGGAAGGAUCAGAGGAGACUAGCUGUGCUAGGUACUUACACCUCCCUUCAAGGAAGGACUUGGUGUCCAGCUGCACAGUGUGCGGUCAGCAGUCUACAGCUGUUCAGCUCCUUCAGGUGUGUCUCAUCUCCCAAAAGCCGCCUCGCCCAAGGUCAUGCCUUUCCUGGAGCUGCCUGCAUCUGGUGACUGAGUGAGACGGAUAUAGACAUCCAGGCUGGUGUUGAUCCUUAAUGAAAAUCUUGCUCCUUAAACUCUGUGUUAGAAUCAGCUCCUGGUGGAUCCAACUCCAACAGCAGAGGAACAGGAAGACUUUGUGUCAUGUGUGAUAAUAUCAUGAGGUUUCUCCUCAGAUGUGAAGGAGGUGAGGGUCCCUGUAGCCUAAUAGGGAUGGACUACAAGUCCAGUGAGCGAGAGAGCAACUUUAGAGUCUUCACUGAAGGAUCUGCAGGAACUUCUAGAACAAAAAACCCUAACCUAUUGUGAUAAGAAUCAGAAGAGUGGUUGCCUCUGGAAGGGAGAUUGACUGGAAACGGGCUUGAAGAUCUUUUCUAGAGUGUAGGAAAUGUUCUAUAUCUUGAUGGGGUCGGGGUAUGUUUGUUAAAACUCAUUGAGCUGUGUAUUUAAAAUCUAUGCAUUUUAUUUUAUGUAAAUUUGAAAAGAAAACAGAGUGAUAGUUCAACAUGAAAAAGAAAUGACUAUAUAAAACUAAUUCCGGAAAGAUUUAGAUUUCAAAAUUGUUUGGUUUUAAUUUUCUGACUUAAAUAGGGACAGUCGCAGGAAAGGACCUACCAUCAGUGUGCAGCUCUGCUAAGGGAUAUAAAGACAUUUUUAUCUAUAGUUAAUUAUUUCUUAUUAGAAAUCCAGAAUCUUGCAGAAACAUAAAGCUACUUGGACAGAAAAAAAAAAUUGUUUUCCUAUUUCACAAAUUAAAGUUAGCUAGAUGAGAUCUGGUACACAUUUCUUUAAUUUUCGUCUUCAGCUGACACUCAACAUUUCUACCUACAGAGUGGCCACAAAGUUUGGAAAUAGAAGUGGCUUGGUUUGACCAUCUUAAGUGAUCACCAGUUAGCGUGCGCUCUUGACAGGCAAGGGAAGGUCACUCUGAGACCAACCACCACAUGACCCCAGAGUGGAGAUACUGGUAGGAUGAUAAUUUCUAAAACUGGAUGUGAUGAUGUAGGCCUGUGGAGUAUGCUGAAUGCUGGCCAGCUAGAACACUCUUUCGUAUGGAUGCCAGAAAAAUUUGGGACACAGGAUGAAAAGUUCAAUUUGAAUGUCGGAUAAGCAACAAAUACUUUUUUAGUUUAAGUAUGCAUAGGGAUACUUACAUAUUCCUUGCAUAAGUGGGAUACAUACAUGGGACAUACCUACAAGGGACGAUUAUACUAAAAACUUGUUUUUUAUCUGAAAUUCAAAUUUAACCGAUGUCCUCCUAUAUUUUUAUUUGCUAAAUCUGGCAACUCUAUGCUUGAGGUAUGCUGAAAGGGCACGGUUUUUUUGUUUUCCUUUUUCUUCAGCGAAAAUCAGACACAAAUAACCUAAGCCUGUGGUUCUCGAACUUUAGCUUGUAUCACAAUCACCUGCAGGGCUUGUUAAAACAUAGACUAUUGACGAUUGAGUCUCUGAUUCAGUGGAUCUGGGGUAGGGCCCUGGAAAUGUUCAUUUUUAACAUUCCCAAGGCAGGCAUUGCUGAUUCUGCUGAUUCCAGGGAUCACAUCUGAGAACUACUGAUGGGAGGUGAGGCAUUACAGAUGUAUGUGCAAGGAUUGCUGGAAAUGCUGUGUUAAUGUAUCCUGUUUGUUGCCAUUCUGCCCAGCACACUAGUUUAUGCAUCACUAACAAGGGACAACACAUCAAACAUAUCAUGCAUUGUCACAUAAUAUCAAUAAAUCACUUAUUAUGUAUAUUUGCCUCUGUUUCCAGACUGUAUGGCCACUCCGUAGGUAAGUUAUUUGUAUCUGUAGUGGAUUGUCUUUUAAUGAGUGUGAAAUUAAAAUUCCAUAUUAAAAUUAGAGUAAAUU
rnacentral:lncRNA from 1 species